rnacentral:rRNA from 1 species
GUAGGGAAUCUUCCACAAUGGGCGAAAGCCUGAUGGAGCAACGCCGCGUGUGUGAUGAAGGCUUUCGGGUCGUAAAGCACUGUUGUAUGGGAAGAACAGCUAGAAUAGGAAAUGAUUUUAGUUUGACGGUACCAUACCAGAAAGGAACGGCUAAAUACGUGCCAG